rnacentral:rRNA from 1 species
GGGUUGUGAGGUUAAGCGACUAAGCGUACACGGUGGAUGCCCUGGCAGUCAGAGGCGAUGAAGGACGUGCUAAUCUGCGAUAAGCGUCGGUAAGGUGAUAUGAACCGUUAUAACCGGCGAUUUCCGAAUGGGGAAACCCAGUGUGUUUCGACACACUAUCAUUAACUGAAUCCAUAGGUUAAUGAGGCGAACCGGGGGAACUGAAACAUCUAAGUACCCCGAGGAAAAGAAAUCAACCGAGAUUCCCCCAGUAGCGGCGAGCGAACGGGGAGCAGCCCAGAGCCUGAAUCAGUGUGUGUGUUAGUGGAAGCGUCUGGAAAGGCGCGCGAUACAGGGUGACAGCCCCGUACACAAAAAUGCACAUACUGUGAGCUCGAUGAGUAGGGCGGGACACGUGGUAUCCUGUCUGAAUAUGGGGGACCAUCCUCCAAGGCUAAAUACUCCUGACUGACCGAUAGUGAACCAGUACCGUGAGGGAAAGGCGAAAAGAACCCCGGCGAGGGGAGUGAAAAAGAACCUGAAACCGUGUACGUACAAGCAGUGGGAGCACGCUUAGGCGUGUGACUGCGUACCUUUUGUAUAAUGGGUCAGCGACUUAUAUUCUGUAGCAAGGUUAACCGAAUAGGGGAGCCGAAGGGAAACCGAGUCUUAACUGGGCGUUAAGUUGCAGGGUAUAGACCCGAAACCCGGUGAUCUAGCCAUGGGCAGGUUGAAGGUUGGGUAACACUAACUGGAGGACCGAACCGACUAAUGUUGAAAAAUUAGCGGAUGACUUGUGGCUGGGGGUGAAAGGCCAAUCAAACCGGGAGAUAGCUGGUUCUCCCCGAAAGCUAUUUAGGUAGCGCCUCGUGAAUUCAUCUCCGGGGGUAGAGCACUGUUUCGGCAAGGGGGUCAUCCCGACUUACCAACCCGAUGCAAACUGCGAAUACCGGAGAAUGUUAUCACGGGAGACACACGGCGGGUGCUAACGUCCGUCGUGAAGAGGGAAACAACCCAGACCGCCAGCUAAGGUCCCAAAGUCAUGGUUAAGUGGGAAACGAUGUGGGAAGGCCCAGACAGCCAGGAUGUUGGCUUAGAAGCAGCCAUCAUUUAAAGAAAGCGUAAUAGCUCACUGGUCGAGUCGGCCUGCGCGGAAGAUGUAACGGGGCUAAACCAUGCACCGAAGCUGCGGCAGCGACGCUUAUGCGUUGUUGGGUAGGGGAGCGUUCUGUAAGCCUGUGAAGGUGUGCUGUGAGGCAUGCUGGAGGUAUCAGAAGUGCGAAUGCUGACAUAAGUAACGAUAAAGCGGGUGAAAAGCCCGCUCGCCGGAAGACCAAGGGUUCCUGUCCAACGUUAAUCGGGGCAGGGUGAGUCGACCCCUAAGGCGAGGCCGAAAGGCGUAGUCGAUGGGAAACAGGUUAAUAUUCCUGUACUUGGUGUUACUGCGAAGGGGGGACGGAGAAGGCUAUGUUGGCCGGGCGACGGUUGUCCCGGUUUAAGCGUGUAGGCUGGUUUUCCAGGCAAAUCCGGAAAAUCAAGGCUGAGGCGUGAUGACGAGGCACUACGGUGCUGAAGCAACAAAUGCCCUGCUUCCAGGAAAAGCCUCUAAGCAUCAGGUAACAUCAAAUCGUACCCCAAACCGACACAGGUGGUCAGGUAGAGAAUACCAAGGCGCUUGAGAGAACUCGGGUGAAGGAACUAGGCAAAAUGGUGCCGUAACUUCGGGAGAAGGCACGCUGAUAUGUAGGUGAAGUCCCUCGCGGAUGGAGCUGAAAUCAGUCGAAGAUACCAGCUGGCUGCAACUGUUUAUUAAAAACACAGCACUGUGCAAACACGAAAGUGGACGUAUACGGUGUGACGCCUGCCCGGUGCCGGAAGGUUAAUUGAUGGGGUCAGCGCAAGCGAAGCUCUUGAUCGAAGCCCCGGUAAACGGCGGCCGUAACUAUAACGGUCCUAAGGUAGCGAAAUUCCUUGUCGGGUAAGUUCCGACCUGCACGAAUGGCGUAAUGAUGGCCAGGCUGUCUCCACCCGAGACUCAGUGAAAUUGAACUCGCUGUGAAGAUGCAGUGUACCCGCGGCAAGACGGAAAGACCCCGUGAACCUUUACUAUAGCUUGACACUGAACAUUGAGCCUUGAUGUGUAGGAUAGGUGGGAGGCUUAGAAGUGUGGACGCCAGUCUGCAUGGAGCCGACCUUGAAAUACCACCCUUUAAUGUUUGAUGUUCUAACGUUGACCCGUAAUCCGGGUUGCGGACAGUGUCUGGUGGGUAGUUUGACUGGGGCGGUCUCCUCCUAAAGAGUAACGGAGGAGCACGAAGGUUGGCUAAUCCUGGUCGGACAUCAGGAGGUUAGUGCAAUGGCAUAAGCCAGCUUGACUGCGAGCGUGACGGCGCGAGCAGGUGCGAAAGCAGGUCAUAGUGAUCCGGUGGUUCUGAAUGGAAGGGCCAUCGCUCAACGGAUAAAAGGUACUCCGGGGAUAACAGGCUGAUACCGCCCAAGAGUUCAUAUCGACGGCGGUGUUUGGCACCUCGAUGUCGGCUCAUCACAUCCUGGGGCUGAAGUAGGUCCCAAGGGUAUGGCUGUUCGCCAUUUAAAGUGGUACGCGAGCUGGGUUUAGAACGUCGUGAGACAGUUCGGUCCCUAUCUGCCGUGGGCGCUGGAGAACUGAGGGGGGCUGCUCCUAGUACGAGAGGACCGGAGUGGACGCAUCACUGGUGUUCGGGUUGUCAUGCCAAUGGCACUGCCCGGUAGCUAAAUGCGGAAGAGAUAAGUGCUGAAAGCAUCUAAGCACGAAACUUGCCCCGAGAUGAGUUCUCCCUGACUCCUUGAGAGUCCUGAAGGAACGUUGAAGACGACGACGUUGAUAGGCCGGGUGUGUAAGCGCAGCGAUGCGUUGAGCUAACCGGUACUAAUGAACCGUGAGGCUUAACCUUACAACGCCGAAGCUGUU